rnacentral:rRNA from 1 species
AGAGUUUGAUUAUGGCUCAGGAUGAACGCUAGCGGCAGGCUUAAUACAUGCAAGUCGAGGGGCAGCACGGGUAGCAAUACUUGGUGGCGACCGGCGCACGGGUGCGUAACACGUAUACAAUCUACCUUAAACAGGGGGAUAGCCUUUCGAAAGAGAGAUUAAUACCCCGUAAUAAUUUGAACGGCAUCGUUUGAAUUUGAAAGUUCCGACGGUUUAAGAUGAGUAUGCGUCUGAUUAGCUAGUUGGUGGUGUAAUGGACCACCAAGGCGACGAUCAGUAGGGGAUCUGAGAGGACUACCCCCCACACUGGUACUGAGACACGGACCAGACUCCUACGGGAGGCAGCAGUAAGGAGUAUUGGUCAAUGGAGGCAACUCUGAACCAGCCAUGCCGCGUGCAGGAAGACGGCCCUAUGGGUUGUAAACUGCUUUUGUACCAGAGAAAACCUAUCUAACGUGUAGAUAGCUGAUAGUAUGUAGAUAGNUCGA